UGCUCCUGCCCUCCUCCUGCAGUAGGCCGACUCCCUCUCUACCGAGGGGGUUGGUGGUUCUUUCCCCCACUCUGCCAGCAAUCACGGCCAUGGUGAAGACAGAGUGUUGACCUAUUGCUGGGAUUCUCCCCUUGCUCUGGCUGACUUGAAAUCCUGAGAGGCAGUGGGUUGAUGUGCUGGCUCCUAGCAGUGGCCCUCAGCCAGAUUGCAGGCUUAGCAGCGGGAGCAGGAAGAACAGAGGCCCCUCUAAAUUGCCCUGCUCAUACUGGAUGGCAGGCCGUGGGUGGAGCCUUCUUCCAAGUCUUCGAGUGGGUUGUAGCCUGGCAGUGUUGCUGCUGACAUAGACUGUCAUGUCCUGGCUGCCGCGCAGUUUGCCCUGGCUCAUGGCUUCUUGUGCUUUGGUGGUUGUGGUCUCUUGAAUUUCAGGGAAUCUGUCAGGUGGAUGAAGGCUGAUGGGGAGGGGUUGUGUGGUUGCAAGCCCAGAAGGUACUCAUGAGUCCUGGUUUUGGAAGGAAAGGAAGAGCCUCCUCAAUGCGAGGGGAUAAAGGAGCCUAAACCAGACUGGCAUUCAGAUUGACAGUCAGCCAUUGGAACCUCAUUUAGCCUCUGCAGAAGGCACCACUGGAAAGCAGACACAUCAGGAUACCUGGAGGUAGCAAAGGUGUUGACCUGUGUAGGAAUCGGUACUCUGGAGUCCUUUGGUUAUGUGGCACUUCUCAUAGACACCGAGGUCAUUCUUGCUGGCCUCCAGGUGGAAGGCAAUGGUGUCAAGAUACUCUUCUGCUAUUCGGGUACUAGUGGCCUGUCUGGACUCUAGGCAAUGUCAAUGUCAGAUAGGACAUGGAUGGUGUUUGGAAGCCUCUGGAGCAAGUUGUGAUUCCUCCCGUGGGGCCUCUCUGGCGGCCAGCUUAGGAAACAAUGGCAGAAAUGCCCUUGAGGUGCAAGGCUGUAUGGAGUUUGGAACUGACUGCCUCAAACCUAUGCUCAUGUGCAGUGGAGUAUGCCCAAGAGACCCUGGAUUGCUGGGAUUCAUUUCUGGUCUUUGGCAGUCUGAGUGUGCACUUUCUCUUGGCAGAACUCAGCCUCCUUGAGUCUCCCCCUCAUAGGAGUUCUUGGGAUGGGAAACACCGAUGCAGUGUCCACAACCUCAGACCUAUUUCAGGGACCCUUGAGGAGUAAGGUGUGUCCCCUAAAGACAGAUGGUCCGAGACGGACAGCAUGCCUUGGAAAAAAGGCACAGAAACAGAAGGAGGUAUGGGAAAGAGAAACACACAUAGACAGGGACAGAGACAGAGACAGAGACAGAGACAGAGACAGAGAUGUGGUGAAAUGUAGACAAACACAUAGAGAAGGAGAUUGUUAAACAAUGUCUGGCAGCCCUGCCAGGUCUUCUGUCACUUGGGAAGAAGGCCUAAGAGGAAACUUUGUCGUGGUCUGACCUGAAGCACCUCAGGUCUUUGGUAGGACAGAGUGUUAUAGAUUUCAGGAGCAUUGCCACAGUAAUAUAGAGGCCUGCCUGGUUUUGAGAUAGAGUUUGAAGGAGGAGGAGGACGAGGCCCAGGGGAAGGCUGACAAUGAGGAGAAAGAGGCAUGGAGAACAAGGCUACCGCUAAUGCUAGCUAGCUUUGAGAUGGAGAGAGCAAGUUGAGUUUGCACUGUCCAGUGACCCCAGGGGACAGGGAAUCAGGGCUGAGGUUUUCCUAGGGGGCCUUUAGGAUGUUUCUUGAAGAGUGUGCUCGCUGCUGUAUCUGAAUGUGUUGUGUUGACAGAAACUGGUUGGUUGACUUCAGGGUGGGGCAAAGAUCCUCUUACAGGCCAAGCAGGAGCUCUUGGGCCCUGGAGCGAACCCGGCCAACCUCUGACAAGCAAUGCUGGAGGUUUUGGGCAGAGCAGGAGUGGUGAGACAGCAGAAGUGAUCUGAUCAUCCCAUGGAGACUAGCAAAGAUAAGCCCUCCCAGCUCCAAUUCGACAGUUCCCACUGGAACGGUGGCAUGUGCUUUUAUGUGUUCACAGUGUCCCACUCUGGGUCCUGCAUGGCCUGAGUGCACAGAGGAUGGCCCAGCAUCCUUCGCACAGGGCUGGUUGCUCCUGACUAAGCCUCCAGUGAAGUUGCCUGGUGUUGCUGACAUGCCUGAGAAGGCCCGAAGAUGGAAGAUGAAGUGUCCCACUCUGGGUCCUGCAUGGCCUGAGUGCACAGAGGAUGGCCCAGCAUCCUUCGCACAGGGCUGGUUGCUCCUGACUAAGCCUCCAGUGAAGUUGCCUGGUGUUGCUGACAUGCCUGAGAAGGCCCGAAGAUGGAAGAUGAAGUUUCCAGCUCUUGGUCCUGCAUGGCCUGAAUGCACAGAGGAUGGCCCAGCAUCCUUCGCACAGGGCUGGUUGCUCCUGACUAAGCCUCCAGUGAAGUUGCCUGGUGUUGCUGACAUGCCUGAGAAGGCCCGAAGAUGGAAGAUGAAGUUUCCAGCUCUUGGUCCUGCAUGGCCUGAAUGCACAGAGGAUGGCCCAGCAUCCUUCGCACAGGGCUGGUUGCUCCUGACUAAGCCUCCAGUGAAGUUGCCUGGUGUUGCUGACAUGCCUGAGAAGGCCCGAAGAUGGAAGAUGAAGGUACGCCUCCCAAGAAUUGCCCCAUAUGCUCAGGAUUCUCGGGUCUUGGUGGUGCCGCUAGGACUGACCGUUCGUGUUUCCGGGCUUGUGUGCACAUGUAACAGACUUAGGUGCUCAAGGUGCUGCCCUGUUGAUUGCAGGGGCCCAUUGCAGUGUGUUAGCAUUCCUGGCCUGGGGCACUUGAUAUUUCUUCUGGCAUCCCACCAACACCCGCGCUGUCCAUGAGUGUCUGUGCUGAAUAUCUGGGUGCAAGGGCACUGCAGCAUUGGUGGAUCGAUGAUGAUUCAAGUCAAACAUUCCUUGGAAAAGCUGAACAAAAUGAGUGAAAUCUCAGUUCGCCUCUCUCAUCGGGACUGAGGUCCGGCACCUUGGGUCCCCCAAGUCCUCCGCGUGUCAGACACAGGCUUGGGUCCACUCCAUUGCUCCUCCCCUCCUACAGCAGUUGGCAGACUCCCUGUCUCCUGGAGCUGGUUCUUUCCCCCACUCUGCUUGCAAACACGGCCAUGGCGAAGACAGUGUGUUAACCUCUUGCUGGGAUUUUUCCAUUUCUCUUGCUGACUUUAAAUCCUGAGAGGCAGUGGUACAUCUACUGGCUCCCAGCAGUGGCCCUCAGCCAGGUUGCUGGCUUCUCAGAGUUUGUAUGAAGAACAGAGGCCCCUCUAAUUUGCCCUGCUCUUACUAUUUAUCAGGCCCUGGGUGCUGCUAGGACUAUCAAUCGUGUACCCAUGCAUAGUCAACUUUUGUCCUCAUGGUGCUGCCCUGUUGAUUUCAGGGUCCCAUUGCAGUGUGUUUUCAUUCCCUGGCUUGGGUAUUUCUUGGUGUUUUUGUCACCUCACCAACACCCAUGCUCUCCAUUAGUGUCAGUGCUGAAUAUCUGUGUAUAGAGUACUACAUCAUGUGUGGAUUAAUGAUUUAAAUCAAACAUCCCUUGAAAAAGCUGAACAAAAUAAUUGAAAGCUCAGUUUUCAACUCCUAUGGGUACUGUUGUCCUGCACCUUGGUCACUCAUGUCCUCUGGGUGUCUGAUAUUGUCUUGCGAAUCACUCCACUGCUCCUGUCCUCCUCCAGCAGUAGCCAGACUCCCUCCCGAUGUGUUGGUUCUUUCUCUCACUCUUCUAUGGUUACAUCAAAUUCACAUUCUAUAUUUCAUCUAGGCCCAGUGUGUAGAACCUUGAAGAAAUUGUUUCCUAGUCUGAAUUUUCCUUUCUUCUAAUUCAUAAUGCCUUAAUCUGAAACCUCUCUAUCUGCAUAAUCCUUUCAGUUCUAGGUUCCCUUUUGUAAGAGAACACAGAUACUCACUUGGAAGUCAUUCUUUGUAGACUCUAGACAUAUCUACUUUUCUUAUGGACAACACAUUGUUUAUAUCCUAUCUUCUCUGUGGUCUUUCAAAUAUCUUUAAUGCUCAUUUGCAUCCGAAAACCUCAAUCCUUUUAAUCAUAUAAAAAAUCCAUCCAAGGGACUGGGUCUAGAAGGCCUGGCAUUUUACCUACUGAAAUCUCUGUCAGUCUAUGGGUUUAAUGACUUCAUCACACAGCAUCCAUGCUAUGUGUUUCUUAUUGCAAUCCCCUAACCAUUAGGUCUAUGUGUCCAAAAUGGCAAAUUCAUAUUGCCAUUGCAGUAUUGCAAAAUUUUGCAAAAGUCCUUGUGUAAUUCCAUAGGACUUUUACAUAAGAACUGAGCAGUGCCUGCAUACAAGGACCCAGGGGGUGGUGUCAGGAUGCUCAGACCUUCUCUGGUUCACAGCACAGCAAUAGUAGAAAUUGAUCUUUCCUUUCUUGCAUAGCUUUUACCUUCUGCCUCCCAUCCUGAUUGGGAUUGGCAGGGCAAGAUCUACAAAUUUGAUUUUGGACAUCAGUUUAAAAGCUACAACCUUCCCAAUAUGGCUUUCUGUAAUGGCUAUUUGUUGUCUCUAGACUCCAUCAGAUCCCCAGUUAUUCAUAUGGAUACCUUUAAUGUUUGAAUAUUAGACAAUGGCACCAAGGUUUUUUCCUAUUCUAAUCCCUUUCCCUGGGACUUAAUGGUAUUUAUUUAUCUCACAACCAUCAGGCAGCACAAGGCAAUUCAGUAGGGUAUAUCAGGGAAGGCACUGUCUAUCUAGCCCCAGAGCCAUGAACUCUGUAUCAUUUCAAUACCUUCUCUGCAGACAGCAGUGGGAUUAUAUUUCAGCUCCAUGUUAUCCUACAUAGCUGUAACAAGCUAUUAUUAGUCAAGAUUCCUUGACUAAUCUGAUGAGGAAUGUCCCCAGGAAUGUGGAGUAGGCAUCCAACACAGGCUAUGGAGGUACAAAUAACAACCUUGAGAGAAUGGAUCCUUCUUAACUAUUUUUGUCCCUGGUGCUCAGAAACUAAUGCACUAGUGCUGGACCAUGAAUAGCCGAUGACCUGUCUUUGACAUCAUCAGGGCCAAUGUUGGGAUCACAAUAUGCAAAGAGUUCACAAGGCCUGAGUAUUGUCUUAAUACUGACAACUUAAUAGUUGUCAGCAGUCUAAUGCUAACAGCCAAAGCAGUGAGAACAAGUGUGGCUCUAUUGAUCCACUGAACUUAUCUUGAGCAGCUGGAAAAGCUACCAAUCACAUAUGGUGUGUCGGGCCUUUCUGUGCUGAGGCCCAAGCAACAGGACAGUAGAAACAGGGCAUGGUGUCUCCUUGUUGCUUUCCUGAGACCCAGUUUACAGGCUGUUAUUCCCAAUCCUUGUUUCCUCAUCUGGGAAAUCCUAUACUGUCCAGGUGCACAUCUGUAGGAGAGCACUGAGUGCUCUCUCAAGAGGGCAUUUUGUGCCACUUUACUCUUAUUCAAGUCUCUAGUGGCCAAUACACUGCCCAUGUUCCUGUCUUCUCUGCUGUCUUUCAGUGAUCUAAGAUGCUGUUCUGGAGACCACAACCUCACAUCUUUCAGGUAAGUGGAAAGAUCAGCCCAAAUUCGGGAUCUGUGAUGGUCCUGUGACUUCAACAUUUAGAGUUUCUGGAAGUCUAUGAAUCUAAUGACUUUAGAAGCACAGUAUUUAUGUUCUUGAUUGUUUCUUGGAACCUUCUACAACUUAGACCUAUGUGUCCAUAAUGGCUAUCUAAUUUUCCCUUUCUUGGAACCUUCUAGAGGAUUUGAGCAUGAACCACUGAUCAAGGACAACAUCAUAGUACCCAUAGGUGGAGUCACAAUGCUAAGUCCUGUUAUUGUUCACACCAUGGUGAUAGAGGAACUUAAAAUUUCCUUCCAUGCCUGUUUUUUUACCUUUUGUCUCCCAUCCUCCUUGGGAUUGACUUGGCCAGAACUUCUAGUCUCAUUGCAACAGAAGCUUUACAAUCUACAACCUUGUCAGGAUGACCUUCAGGAGUGAUUACUUUGCAGGCCCCAGAUUCAUGGUGAUCUUCAGGUCACUUCUCUGGCUAAUUGGACAUGAGGAUACUUGGAAAGUUCUAGGGCUGGAUAUUUUUGAUUGAAUGUCCUUCUCCUAUGACUUUUUGAUCACUCUAUAAUCCAUGAGGCAACAGAAUUCCAGAUAAUCCAUGAGGCAACUGAAGUCCAAAUAGGAGGGUUUUCGGGGUAGACAUUCUCUUCCCAGACCCCAAGUCAGUGGACUCAAUAUGUUCCCUCAAUUAGUCCCAGCAUCACUUGAAGACCUUCACAAUAAAGAUAACAGGAAUACAUUUCAGCUUCAGGUAUAUUUAACUAUGCUGGAACCCGGUUCUGUGUCUACUCCAAUGAGGAAUUUCCACAUAGACUUACAGCUAGCAUCUACCUCAGAGUAUUGACUUGCAAGUGAGAACUUUGAGAAAAAGGUUCCUUCUUAAGGGAUUUGUCUGAGGUACUCAGAGGUUGGUAAGAUCAGGCUGUACCAUUGAACACUGAUGCUAAGUCUCUGUCCUUUUGAAGCCCGUUCUGGGUUCACAAGGUGAUAUGGGGUUUCAAGUCCCUGAGUAGGGUACUUACAAAUGUCAGCAGGAAAAUGCUAACAGUGAAAACAGUGAUUUGACUGGCCCUUUGCAUUUACUUUGCCAAGUCUAAUAAUCUAACCAUCAAUUACUGUAUGCUUGUUUUGUGCUAUUUAUUAUUCAGAUGGCAGAAGUGUUAUGUUCCACUGAAUUACACCUUUUUGCCAUGGUCAAAUUUCUAUGACCUUUCCUUUUCAUAAAAGUAAAGUCAAACUAGUGCCUUGACACCAUGCUCUUUCUUUGUAGCCACAUGAUGGAACUACCAAGAUGAGAUAGCUGGUUUUCUUUGAUCCCUUGAAAGAGUUUUUUACCCAGUUGUCCUUUUUCCUUAAACAUGUCAAGGCCUACCUCCAAGGCAGUGUUUGCGGCCCUAGUAAGUAAGCAAUGCUGUUUGAAGAUAAAAAGUGGGUGUAAUUUGCUCUGUCCAGGCCUAUGUAAAUGAUGUCAUACAAACAUCAUGGGGAGAGGUGAUAAUAUAAAAUUCAUGGUCAAUAUUAUCACACUGGGGCCCCAACAAUGGGAAAGGGGAGAACAUGGUUCUUCCAUUCAAUGUUGCCUUCUUGGGGCCCUUGUUGAAAUCCUGAGAUUCCUAGGCUCUGUUUAGCAUUCAGUGAAUCCUGUACUGUUCUGGUACACAUUUGUUAGCAAGCACUGGGUGCUCCUUCAACAACCAUCUUGUCUUUCUUUCUACUGUUGUGUAUGCUUCAAAUAACCAUCCCAUGUCCUUGUGUCCUUUCUUGUCUUUUCCUUUCUCUUUCUUUUUUACAUGAAGCAUUAAAUGUUAAUUAUUUAUGUAUUAGUUAUUAGUCUUUAUUGGAAAUGGAUUCUUCUCUCAUACAAUCAAUACUACCCACAGUUUUCCAUCCCUCCACUCUACCAUUUAUACCCUAUCUCCAAUUUGCCUUGGGUCCCUCAGAAAAGCAUGAGCAUCCAAGAGACAAUAUCCAAACAGCCAAACAAAAUAGAAUAAGACAAGGAAAAAGCCCUACACAGAAGCUUGACAGGGCAACCCAACAUGAGGGAAAGCAUCCCAAAUACAGGCAAAAGCAUCAGUGACACACCCAUUUGGUCAGUUAGGAGUUUUACAAAAACCCUAAACUAACAGCCACAAUAUAUAAGCAGAGGACCUUGUGCAGAAACAUGCUACCCCAUGCUUGGAACUUCAGUCUCUGUUCUGUAUGCAACCUGCAUAUUUGAUUCAGUCAGCAGUCUUCACCUGAAACCCUCAUUCCCUCUGACUCCUACAGUCUUUCUGCACCAUCUUUCACAGGAUUCCCUGAGCUCUGAGAAAAGGGACCCAAUGGAGACUUCCAAUUUAGACUCUGUCUACAUAACAUCAGGCUGUGGGUCUCUGAAUCUUCUCCCAUAUGCUACUGGAGGAAGCCUCUCUGAUGACAACUGGACAUGGCUCUGAUCUAAGAGUAUAGCAGAAUAUUGCUAGAAAUUAUUUCAUUGAUUUUUUAUACAAGUCAUGUUUGGUUUGACCCUAUGUCUCUGGACUAUUCAUUCUCCUAUUCCUGGUCAUCUAAUAGGUGUUGAGCAUGGUCUCCCCACUUCUACAAGUUAUGCACCAUAUUUGCCCCAGAACAUCUUGAAGCAAGGACAGAUUGUAGGUCAGAGGUUUUGUGACUGUGUUGUGUCUAUGUUUCUCUUUCAAUAUUCGGCAGAAAUCUUUCCCACACCAAGGGAAUAGACCAUAGAGUGUAGGAUCCAUUCAGGCACUGGAUCAACCUUUCCACAUUCAUUGAGCUAUGUGGAUUUUGUCCUCAACAAUUGGGCCCUGACCAUCAGUUUGCAUAAAGCAUCCUUCUGCCCUAACAUCAACUAGGGUUGUUUGGAAAUCUCCACUGGACCCCCCUCAGCCAAGAACUCAAAUAAAUGCAACCCAGUCCCACCACUGGGAGCCUUGUCUGACUACAACCUAAACUCCUUAUUCACCAUUACUAGGAGUCCUCAUUAGGCCCACUCAAUGAUUCUAGGAAGUUCCACUGUACUAGAUUCGCACACUGCCCCCCAAAGGCCCUCAACCAAUGCCCCAAUGCUCAGCUAUCUCUCCCCACACUCUCUCCCUCCAUCCCAUCUUCCCACCACCACCUAUCUCCCUAUGCUUCCCACUCCCUAUCCCCACUUACCCCGAGUCUAUCCAUAAAAUCUAUUCUAUUUCCCCUUCCCAAGGAGAUCCAUGCACUCUCACUAGACUGCUCCUCUUUACCUAACCUUUCUGGGUCUAUGGAUUAUACCUUGUUUAUUAAUUACUUAAUGGCUAAUACCCAUUUAUAAGUGAAUAUAUACCAUUUUUGUCUUUCUGUGUCUGGGUUGGUUACCUCACUCAGGAUGAUUUUUUUUCCUAGUUCCAUCCAUUAGCCUGAUGAUGUCUGUUUUGUAAUAGUUGACUAAUAACUUUCUUGCGUAAAUUAUCACAUUUUAUCUAUCUAUCUCUUCUUUAAUUCAGGGACAUUUAGGUUGUUCCCAGGUUUGGGGUAAUAUGAAUAAUGCUGCAAUGAACAUAGUUAAGCAAGUGUCCUUAUGGUAGUAUGGAGUGUCUUUGGAAUAUAUGUCCAAGAGUUAGAUCAGUUCCCAAUUUUUUGAGAAACCAUAUUUAUUUCCAAAGUGGCUGUACAAAUUUGCAUGCCCACCAGUGAUGGAGAAGUGUAAUCCUUUACUCUCAUCCUCACCAGCAUAAGUUAUCAUUUGUGUUGUUGAUAUUAGCCAUUCUGACAGGUGUAAGAUAGGUAUCCGAUGUGCAUUUCCCUUAUGGGUAAGGAUGUUGAAAGUUUAGUGUUUCUUAGCCAUUUGAGAGUCCUUUAUUGAAAAUUCUCUGUUUAGAACUGUUUCCCAUUUUAAUUGGAUUAUUUGAGUUUUUGUUAUCUGCUUUCUGGGCACUUUAUAUAUUUUGGAUAUUAUCCCUCUAUCAGUUCUGGGUCAAUAACAAACUUUUCCUAUUGUGCAGGUCACUACUAUGUCAGAAUGAUGGUGUCUUUUGCUGCUCAGUUUCAUGAAGUCCCAAGAAUUGAUUGUUGGUCUUAGUGCCUGUGCUAUCAGUGUUUGGUUCAGAAAAUCCUAUCCUGUACCAAUGCUUUCAAGGCUAAUUCCCACUUUCUGUUCUAUCAGGUUUAGUGUAUCCAGUUUUAUAUUGAGGUCAUUGAUCCAUUUGGGCUUGAGUUUUGUGCAGAGUGGUAAAUGUGGAUCUGUUUGCAUUCUUCUAUAAGCCUACAUUCAGUUUGACAAGCACCAUUUGUUGAAGAUGCUUUCUUUUUCUAAUUUGUGUUUCUGGCCUUUUCAAAAAUAAAAAACAGGGUGUCCAUAGGUAUGUGGACUUGCGUCUGGGUUUUCAGCUUGAUUCCAUUGAUUAACACAUGUCUGCUUUUUAUGCCAAUACUAUGUAAUUUUGUUACUAUAGCUUUAUAGUGCAACUUGCAGUCAGGGAUAUUCUUUUUUGUUUUUUAUUUGUUUGUUUUUCCAUGUGACAUUGAGAAUAACCCUUUUAAGAGUUACCAACAAGAUAUUUUAUAUUAUUUGGUGCUAUGGUGAAAGGUGUAGUUUUCUUCAGUCCAUUUGACAUUUGUACAUAGGAGAGCUACUGAUUGUUUUUAUUCUGCAGGGCUCAGACAGAUGGGCCUCCUAUUUUUUAUUAAUUUACUUUUUAUAUUCCAAUCCCAGUUCUCUCUCCCUUCCUCCCACUCUCCCCACUCUCCCCCACUCAACCUCCCAUCUGUUCCUUUGAGAGGGUAAGUCCUCCUCCCCUAGGAAGUCUACUAACUGCUGUGAAAAACAGUACAGCAAUUUCUCAGAAAAUUAAGAAUCAACCUACCUCAAGACCCUGCAAUGCCACUUCUGGGCAUAUACCCAAACAAGGCACAUUCAUUCACACCAAAAGGACAUUUGCUAAACAAUCUUCUUUUUUUUUAAUUUUUCUGUAUUUAUUUUGAAAUUAAAUUUAUUCUUUCUUUAAUACAGAUUUAGACCAAGUUUCAAAUAAUUACAAAAGAAAAAUUGAUAUACCACUGUUGUGCCCAAAUUCUGAACCCCAAAUCACCAAGAGGCCCAUUUCGAUGCAGAAGCAAUGAGUCUUUUAUUGCAGUUGUUUAAUGAGCUAACCCCAUUAGCUCAGGCUUUUCAUCCUUCCACCACGACGGAUGGCUGGGGAAAGACUCUCAGAAUCCAUGAGACAGGAAUCUUAUAGGGCAGCAUAAGGGUUACAUACAGGCUCAGGAUUGGUAUGCCUCCAGGCUUGGAAGACCUACCCUGUGUUGAUUGGUCAACUGGUUGUUAAGGCCCAUAGGCCCUCCCAGGGUGGUUGCUGUGCUCUGCACAACAGUGCUCUGCACUGUUGUGCACUUGUACAUAAAACACACCCAGAGCUGUAAAGUAUAGCCCCACCAGCUAACUUCUGACUGGUUCCUUGCCAGGAGGAGGGCAUCUUAUCUCCUAGUGAACAUGACAUGACCAGCAAGGUCAGGCAAGCACAUGCUAGCCUUUCAUGUCUGCCAAAACAUGGCGCUGGUCCCUUCACCACCCAAAUAGGAUUCAUCUAUUUCAAAAUUGUUAAUGAUCUAAUAUAAUGAUAUCAACAUAAGGGGAAUAAUAGAUGAUAACAAGAAUGGAUAUACCAUAAUAGAGGGAGACAUUUUUGGCUUACAGAGAAAUCAGGCACUAGGGAAAUACCUAGAGAUCUAUCUACAAAGAUGACACCAGCUAACAAUCUAAGCAACAGAGGAGAGGCUAUGUUAAAUGCCUUCCCCUGGUAAUAAGAUUGAUGACUAACUUAUAUGUCAACUAUAUUCAUAGCAACAUUAUUCAUAAUAGCCAGAUCUUGGAAAUACCUAGAUGUCCCUCAACUAAAGAAUGGAUAAAGAAAAUGUGGUAUAUUUACACAAUAGAGUACUACUCAGUUGAAAGAAACAAUGACAUCCUAAAAUUCAUAGGUGAAUGGACAGAACUAGAAAAAAAAGCCCUGAGUGAGGUAACACAAAACCAAAAAGACAAAUAUAGUAUGUACUCACACAUAAGUGGAUUCCAGACAUGAAGCAAAAGAUACCCAGCCUAUAAUCCACAACCCCAGAAUGGAAGCAGAUGCAGAAAUCCACAACUAACCAUUAGGCCAAGCUCCUGAAAUACAAUCAAAGUGAAGGAGGAGUGAUAAUAUGAACAAAGGACUUAAGAUCAUGAUGGAGAAACCCACAGAAACAGCUGACUUGAGCUAGUGAAGGAUCACUGACUCUAGUCUGACAAAUGGAGAACCUGCAUUAGACCUAACUAGACUCCCUUAAUAUAAGCAACAAAGGUGUAGCUGGGACAAUAUAUAGUUUUUUUUAAUUAAUCUUGAAUGCAGACAAUUUGUUGAAAGUGUUUCUGAGCUGUAGGAGUUCCCUGGUAGAAUUUUUAAGGUCACUUAUAUAUACUAUUAUAUCAUCUAUGAAAUAAUGAUACUUUGAUUUCUUUCUUUCCAAUCUGUAUCUCCUUGAUCUCCUUCAGUUAUCUUUUCAGUCUAGCUAGUACUAUAAGUACAAUAUUGAAUAGAAACGAUGAGAGUAGAUAGCCUUGUCUUGUUCUUGAUUUUAGUACAAUUUUUUGAGUUUCUCUCCAUUUGAUUUGAUGUUGGCUAUAGGCUUGCUGUAAAUUGUCUUUAUUAUAUUUAUGUGUGUUUCUUGCAUCCCUGAUCUCUCCAAAACUUUUAUCAUGAAGGGGUGUUGAUUUUGUCAAAGGUUCUUUCAGCAUCUAGUGAACUGAUCACAUGCUUGUUUUUUCUUUCAGUUUAUUUACAUGGUAGAUAGAUAUAUAGAUAUUAUAUAAAUUUGGCUUUAUACUGGAAUAUCUGUUCUUCAUCAAUGGUGAUUGAAAGUUGCAGGUAUAGCAACAUUUGCUGGCAUCUGUGAUACCUUAGAGUCUGACACAUAGCUAUCCAGGCCCUUCUGUCUUUUAAAGUCUCCUUUGAGCAGUCAGGGGUAAUUCUAAUCCAUCUGCCUUCAUAUGUCACUUGGUCUUUUUCCCUUGCAGCUUCUAAUAUUCUUUCUAUGUUCUGUAUAUUUAGUGUUUUGAUUAUUAUGUUGCAAGGGAACUUUCUUUUCUCAUACAAUCUGUUAUUCUGUAUGCUUCUUGUAUCUUUGGAGGCAUGUCUUACUUAAUGUUAGGAAAUUUUUCUUCUAUGAUAUUGUUAAAAACGUUUUGUGGGGCUUUGAGCUGGGUUUCUUUUCCUCCCUCUAUAGCUAUUAUUCCUAGGUUUUUAUCUCUUCAUAGUGUCCCAGAUUUCCUGGAUGUUUGUGUCAUGAAUUUUUUAGAUUUAAUAUUUUGACUGAUGUAACUAUUUCUUCAAUCAUAUUUUCAACACAUGAGAUUCUCUAUUCCAUCUCUUGUAUUCUCUUGUUGAAACUUACCUCUGUAGGUCCUAUUCAAAUUCCUAAAGUUUUCAUUUCUGCAAUUCCUUCAGUUUGUAUUUUAUUUAUUACUUCUAUGUUCUUGUUCAGGUCUUGAAUAGUUUUAUUCAUUUCCUUCAACUAUUUAUGUUUUCUUGGCUUUCUUUACAGGAUUUAUUUAUUUUCUCUGAUUGUUUGUUUCUGUUUUCCUGGGUUUCGUUAAGGGAUUUGUUCAUUUCUACUGUAAGUACCUCUGUCAUCUUCAUACUGUUGGUUUUAAGAUCUUUUUCUUGAGAUUCAGCUAUGUUGAAAUAUGCAGGACCUGAUGUGGUAGGAUAUAUGGAUUCUAAUGGCUGUCAUUGAUUUUUUUAAUGCUGACAUUAAAGUAUCUGGGUUUGGAAAUAUUAAAGGUCUAGGUGAUGAUAUCUGGAUUUGUCUUUCUUGAAUGGUUUGUGCUUCCUCUCUGGAUUUUCACAGUGUAAUGAGUGUGUUGCCUGUCUUCCUGGUCUAUUCAGCUGGAUGUUGGAGUCUGAGUAACUGGGAUGGGUUGGAGGAAGGAAGUUUGGAGGAGAAGAUAUUUAUGAUUCAUUGGGAAUGGUGUCAGAGAGGAAAGGGAGACCUUUCCAGAGAGGAUAGCAGAUUUUUAGCUCCAGAUAUGGAAAUAAGACCUCCCCAUCCAGUAGCCCUGCCUAUCUUUCCUGCCUGGCCACUAGCCAAAUGGUGUUUUAUUUAUUAACCAAUAAUAGAAACAUAUAUACAGAAGGACAACCCCCAUCAGUCAGUUGCAGCACUAGGGCUGAAGCUAGGAAUUGGGUCUUUUUGAACAAAGAGAGGGUGAGAAGGUCUGCAGGCAGACUACCUCUUGUGUGUGUCACACCAUCUAUCCUUGCCACACAUUUCUGCAGUCCAGCCUGGAAAAACCCAGCACUUCCCUGUGCUCUCUGUGAGCUGCAGAUUUGCCCAUGAAUGCAUGUGGGAAGUAGCCACAAAGCUUCCUGAGCUGUAGUUGUUUUUUUUUUUUUUCUUUCCACUGUAGAUUUGCUUGCAACUGAAAGGUUCCCUUAGCCACAGCAGUCUAGUGAACUCUACAAUCCCUCUACAAUUUCUACUCUUGUGUAAGCCUCAAAUGACUGACUAACCAAUAUUGCUUAGGUCCUUGUCUCCUCUUGUGUCUUUCAGUGCCCUCCUCACAGCAUCACACCUUCCAGGAAACUGGAAAGAUAAAGCCUAUGACUUGCAUUUAGAAAGGCCAAAGUUACUUCUCCACAUUUUAGAAUCUCUGUAUAGUUCUAAGGACAUUAGAAUCAUACCAUCCAUAGUAAGGUUGGUUUCUGCAUGUCAUCUAUCACUUAGACCUUAGAUCAGGAAUUGGAGAUCCAAUUUAUCUUGCUUGGUAAAUUCCAAGAGACUUGGACAUAAACAACUGAUCAGGUACAAAAGGGGAUUAUGCAUAGCUGUAGUCAGGAUGACCUUGAGGUGGCCAUGCUAAAGGGAUGUAGGAAUUUACCAUUAACUUUCAUGCCUACUCUUUAACAUAUGCUUCCCAUUGCACUGACAAUGGAGAGGAUCAGCUCUUUAUAUGCUUAAUGUGAUAAUAGGCUUCUAAGCUACAAACCCGGGAGGCUCCAAGUUGGCAGACCUAGAGCACAUGGGGAUAUCAAUAUCACUUCUCCAGCCAAUUGAACUACCAAUAAGUAGAAAGUUCUGUUGCUAGACUGUGGCUCUGGGUAUCCUUGACUGAGUCCUUCACCUGUAACUUAAGUGUUCACUCUCCAAGCCUUCAGGAAGCACACACACUGGUAGGAGAAUUCAUCGUGUCAGGCAUUCUCUUUGGGAUCUCAAUGUCAUGAGACAGAAUAAAAUUGGCAGAAUGAGAUGCAGAGUCAUUUAAAAAACCUUCUUGUACUUCAAAUACCAGCUAGCUAGUGCCAACAGUGAAAUAAGUAAGUAAUAGGGUGAGUGGAGCAGUCAUUUGUGCUUUCCUUGUCCUUGCUAAUGCUUUACCCAGACAUGUCUGUGUGCUGCACCUCAUGCAAUUCAGGGUCCAGGUGCUGGAUGUCUUUCUGGUCAUUGGCAUCAUGUAUUGAUGAUUUGAUGUAUGACAUACAAAAACCAAUCUCAAACAGUCCAGAAAUGUUCCUUCCUCCUAGCCACCUUUCCCAAUGUCAACAGGUAACUUGUUCAUAGAGUAAGCAAAUUGUCUACUGCACAAUCAUAUUCUUCUGUUUUCAAAACAGAGUAUGCAAACCUGCCCAGAUUUUGACUGGCUGUUGAAAUACUCAUUUGUUAAAAAGAUGAAGUGUCUGAAUCAAUGAUGAAAUCAACUUUCUGAAGAUGGUGAAUAACUCAUAUAAAUGGCAAUCGAAGGUCCAGAAAUGAGUCCCUCAAAUAAGAUUCUCAGAGCCUGCCUUUGCCUAAUGAGCCCUUGGUGAAGUCCUCUAACAAGUAUGUGUGGGUUUUGUCUCCUAGCUUUUAAGGUAAUAUACAUAGUAAUUUUUUCUAGUGACCCAAGAUUUUCAUCAUGUUUUCUCACUGAGAAUAGAGCUGCUGACAUUUUCAUUGAGGAAACAUGUAGCAGAUAAGAAAAAUGUAAAUAGAAAAGCAAAAGCAGGGCAAGCAACUGGGGCAUAUACUGACAGCCAUACUAGCAUUUCAAAAAGAAUAUUGCCUUCCUGUUAGGUGUAUAUAACAAAACAUACUUUUUACAUCAGCUACUAUCAGUGUUGAGCAUUUUCAAGGCAAUUUCUUUUCUUUUUUAUUGUCUUAGUGAUCUAAGACUGGGACAUUCAGUUCGGAUCAUACAGGUGAGUAACCAUAAACUUUAGAGAUUAUAUGUAUGGUUCUAUAUGUAACUAUCUGAUGCCUGUGCAUCUUUUUGCAGUCUUGCUGGAGGUUACUGUUGUGAUGGUUUUUGAAACUUUAUCCAAAGAGUCAUUAUUGGGUAUUUGUUGUUUCUGUGUAUUUCUUUUUCAUUUUAACUACUUUCUAAAUUAUGUGAAUGGUGUAAAAUUAAGGAAAUUGAUUUUAGCAAUUAAUAUUGGAUAAAAAUUAGUUAAGAUCAAGUUGUAGCAAAACAAUACCACACAGUACUUAUUUGAUUAUUUACUAGAGUUUCAGAAUAGAGACCCAUUGCUCAUAAGGAGUCUGUGUUCAUAUCAUAGUAUUUAUGAUUCUAGUUUAAUCAGUGAAGGCUGACAUGAAGUCACUGUUCUUUUCCCAAUAUGGAAACAUGUAUGCAAUUUUAAUGCUUUUCUAUGGCAGAUAAGUCAUAGAUACGAGACAUUUGAAUUGAUUCUAGAAUCUUAAAAACAUCUUAUCUCUAUUAGUUAAUUGCUGUUUUGGAUGGUGUAAGUUUAUUGACCUGUAGAAAUUUACAUGUAAUUUUGUAUUAAGUGUUUUAUAUUUUAACAGAAAGUAAACUAGUGCAUGUUGGUUGUGAUAUUUCUUGGGAAUGUUGGCAAGUAGAUGGUAUUUUACUUGGUGCUUAAUGACUGAUGUCCUCAGAACUGGACAAAUAUUCAUAUGAAAAGGAAAGACUUAUAUGAUACUUUGGUAAUAUGAUGGUUUGAAUAGGAAUGAUACCCAUAACUCAUGUGUUUGAAUGCUUGGCAUAAGAGAGUGGCACUAUUAAAAAGAAGUGGCCUUAUUGGAGUAGGUGUGGCCUUGUUAGAAGAAGUGUGUCACUGAAGGGUAGGCUUUGGCGUCUCAGAUCCUCAAGCUAGGCCUAGUGUGGCACUUUUUUCCUGAUAUCUGCUGAUCCAGAAGUAGAACUCCCAGCUAUCUCUCCAACACCAUGUCUGCCUGUGUGCCACUGUGUUUGAUACAUACAUUGUUAGAAAGCACAGUAAACUAAUAUAUUUUUAUUUAAGAUAACUUAAAUAACAUUUAUUAAGAUAAAUUUAGUUAAUAUAAGUAAAAUCUAUAACAUGAUAAUAGAAUUUAUCAUUGACAUUCAUACCAUAAAAAUCUUAGUUUUCAAUCAUCCCAAUACCUCUAAAUACAAACCAAAAUACAAAUACUAAAAUUUAAAGGUUCCAAGUCAUUGCAUCCACAGGUUUCUUAGUUCUUAUAUUGUUUAUAACAAGACAUUCUUAAGUCACAAAUUUAUAACUUAAUUUUAUUGUUGUCAAACAUAGGGAAAAGUCAAAAUGAACUAUAAUAAUAAAAUCACAUUAAGAAAUUAAUUGGGAAAGUUUUCAUAGUUUGAAUUUAGGUAAAUUUAUAAAAAAAUGCUCUAACAUAUUUUCCAAACUUAAUAUAUUUGAUAGGAGUUUUUAAAAAUGUUUAUCUCUAAGAAUUUGAGUAUAUAUUUGGUAUAUAAGAGUUUUUUAUUAAUUGGAUCUGUGUAUUGACAAUUUUAUGCAUGUAUAAAAAACAUUCUGAUUACUUUUACUCCCCUCAUUUCCCUUCAUACCCUUGCAAUCCAUCCACUUGACCAUGAGUCUUUUUCCUAUGUUUAUAUCUUUCUGUUUUAUAAGCCACUUAGUUUAGCAAGGGUCAUCAGUGUGACCAUGGGUUUGGAACUGUUCACUGGAGUAUUGUAGACUCACCAGUGAGUACAAACCAGAAAAUAAUGACUUCCUAAAAUAGUUUAGCACAAAGAGAUAGGUCUCCAUGAGUCUGUCCUUCAUCCACAGCUGGUUGUGAUAAUUCAAGAUUUGUGCUGGUCUAAUGCAGGUAACCACAGAUGCUAUGAGUUAAUAGUUGUAAUGGGCUCAUCACAUCCAGAAGAACAUAUUUCAUAGCCCUUAUUUCUAUCUUCAGGUUCUUACAUUCUUUCUACUCCCUCUUCAUUGAGUACUUAACCACCUAUGAGAGUUUUAUUUAUCCACAAUCCUGACCAUGUAUGUGUGCUAAUGAACAAAUAAGAAAAUAAAGACAUGUUUUAGGGUCCAGGAUUGAGAUAUUAUAAUACACAGGACACAAGGCAGUGGUUCUCAAACUUUUCAUUUUAAUGCUGCAACCAUUUAAUACAAUCCCUCAUACUGUGGUGAUCACCAAACCAUAAAAUUGUUUUGUUGCUACUCCAUAACUGGAACUUUGAUAGUUAUAAAUUUUAAUGUAAAUAACUGAUAUGCAGUACAUCCAAUAUGUGAUCCCCAAAGGGGCUGUGACCAAUAGGUUGAGAGCCUCUGACAUUUUUAUCUAGAAUAAUGCUUGUGCAAAACUAUAGAAAUGUGUAUAGAACAUAACAUAUGCCUAUUAUUUUCAUGUAAUUUAAAGGCCACAUAAAUAAUGAAACUUACUUCUUUGUUUUACAUUAAUAAUUUAGUCUUUAUGGGUAUUCCAUAUAAGUGACAGGUGUGUGAAUGUACAUGACUAAGAGAAGCAACAAUAUCAGGCUGUCAGUGGGUUUCUGAGGUGUUGCUAAAACUGUGGUUUCUAAGAUCUGGAACAAACACAGAAGUCAAAUAUUUCCAGCAAGCAAGGAAAUUUCAAGUCCCCAAAUUCACAUUUCACUAGCAUUUCAUCAGUACUCUCUAAAUAUAUAGUUGAUAUGAACAUAAAUCAAAGAAAACUUGAAGCCAUCUUGAAUGUGUGGCAAUGAUUUACUUUAUUAUCUGUUGUCUAGAUGAUGACAAUAUGAAUGAGGGGAAUGACAAAAGUAUGCCUGGUAGAACAGAGAUGCAGGUGUAAGCUCAAUGUACCUGGUUUGGAUAGGAAAUUUGGAAAACACAUGUGGCAAGAAAUCAUUUAUGCGACUCCUGUAUUGAGAGAAAUUAGCUAGUUUUUUAUAAAAUAGAAAUACUGAACAUUGUCCUGAGUUGCUUCUUGUAAUGUAGUCUAUAGAUAUGAAUGUAUCAGUAAUACUGUUUUGCCAAUGUGGAAAUAACUUCUUGUUAUACGUAGAAGAGAAAGAGUUGGUAAAAGCAGUUUUGUAUGGAGUGUUUUAGUGUUCAUGUCCUUUUGCUCUUGCCAUCUCAGUGAUAAAUGCUGAAAUUUUAACCUUGUAGCAACAUUUAUUCCUUUUAAUUUUUCUAGGUGUCAAGCUGCCAUCUCCCAAACUUUUGUUUUCCUGUGGUUGUUCUGCUAUAGUAGUUCUGUUAAAGUUGAUUAAGUCAACAUACUGACAGCUUUAAUAAGCUAUAGGUGAAGGAUAAAGCAUCUUGCAAAUCCAGACAAUAACUAUACAGGAAAGUAACCCAAUAUAUAGAAAGGCUAACUUCUCAGAAACAGCCUUACCUAGAUCAGUGAUGAGCACAAUCAUCUGAGGUCUGAAAUCUUUUAAGAUCCCAAUUGGAGACUACCUAAAUGUCCCUUGAUAGCAAUGUAGGAUUUCCAGAAUUAUCUCAAUGUGAUGACCUUUUUACUCACAAUAUUUCUACGUAAUGCUUUUCUUUAUUUUCUCGAUAAAUUGCAUUGUCAUAUGGCUUCCCUGAGAAGACUUUAGCCUAAAGGUUUCACAUUAAGGAGAAGUUUGAUAUUUUAAUUACUCUGAACAGUUUGGUGUUGGCUGCAGCCAAGUACUUGAAAGAAUACUUGAUUACAAAAACAUAUAAAUACAUAUAUUUAUUUGACUACAGAAAUAUAAACAAAUAUCUUUAUCACAAAAUAAAACAUGACCAAAAUAUUUUGUUUGUUUUGGUUUUUCGAGACAAGGUUUCUCUGUAUUGUUUUGGAGCCUGUCCUGGAACUUGCUCUGUAGACCAGGCUGGCCUCGAGCUCACAGAGAUCCACCUGCCUCAGCCUCCCAGGUGCUGGGAUUAAAGGUGUGCACCACCAACACCCAGCCAUGACCAAAUUCUUAUACAGAGGAAUGUAGCUAUCAGUAAUGCUGAGAAAGUUCUUUAGGAGUGUAGUUACAAAUAAUAUCUAAAGACAAUAGUGUUAGUUCAUUAGAAUUGCUAUUUAUUUUCUAAAUUGAUUUGUUUGCUUUUUCCUUUUGAUAUGUAUUACUUUGUUGGGUAGAAUAGCAGUGGUAACAUCAUGUUCAGGAAUAGAAAUUAGCAGAUUCCUUUGUCAUUACAAGUGAUAAGAUAGUCAUGAAAUUAGUUGAUACAUUUAAAAUGAGUAAAAUUCAUAUUAAACAUGCUGAUUUAUUUCCACCGUGGAUUGAAAUUAGAAACAGUGAAAUAUUUACUGAUCAUCUCCAAAAUAUUUGAAAAAUAAAAUGUGAACCUCUGGGAAAUUCACUGAUCAAAGAAGACAUAAAAAAAGAAACUGAGAAGCAUUUCAAAUUAAGUAUACAUAAAAAAUUAACAUCUUCAAAUUCAAAUGUAACUAAACCAGCUUGAGAAGAUAUUUUAUAGAACUAAAAUUUUUAUAUUUCAAAUAAAUAGAAGCCUCUAAUGAAUGACUUAUAUUCCAAUGAAUGGCUUCAUACUCCAGUAUAAGAAACUUAAGAACAAAAUAACAUAGAAUAAGAGACAUAGGACAUUCAUAAAGAAAACAGAAAGUAAUCAAAUAUAUACUUACAUGUUUAUACACAAAUAUAUAUACAUACAUAUAUGUGAAUUUGUGUGUAAAUAUAUAUAUAUAUAUAUGGUGGGAGAGAGAAUAAGAAUGGGUUAAUUUAAAACAAACCCAUUAAAUAAUGCAUGAAAGAGUGAAGGACAACCUUGCCACUAGGGUAAAGGUUAACAAUGGAACACUGUCAUUUAUACCUUCUGAAAGAGGAAAAAUCAGCUUUCUCCAAUGAAGGGACAUUGGGUAUAUAAACCACUCAAGGGCUGGUCUUCUGUUCAGGAGUAGCUAGCCAAAAUAUAAUGUCCAUGGGCUUUUCUUUUUCUUUUGUUGUUUGUGUGCUUUGAUUUGGUCCCAGUAUUUUUUCUUUUUGGGUGUUACUUCAUUUUGUUUUCCUUGUUUUAGGGGAUUUUGUUGGUGUAUUAUGUUUUUAGGGUUUUCUGAGAAAAAAAAAGUUGGAUUGUAGGGAUAGGGAGAGGAUUUUGUAACACACACACACACACACACACACACACACACACACACACACACACACACACACCCCAAACACACAAACACAAAAAAAUGACCAAGAGACUGAUACUGAAAUUCAAACUUCCAGGUGAAUAUCAGAAAUGCAAAGCAGCUGGCCACUAGCUUCUUACCUCUACCUCAGGCUUAAAGGGCUGAUACUGUCUUCACAAGCUUUCACCAAGCCUCAGACUGUAACCUCUACUCAGUGUGGCUGGAGAAUGAAUGCCUCAUUGAGAGCUUGCUUCUGUCUUAUAUACUUCCCUAAUGCUGGGAUUAAAGGUAUGAGCUAUAAUUCUCUUUUAGACUGAUUCAUUCUUGUGUAGAUCUGAGUGGCCUUGGACUCACAGAGAUCCAUCUAUCUCGUAAUCAUGAGCCCUAGGAUUAAAGGUGUGUACUACCACCUCCUAGCUUGUGGCUGCUGGGAUUAAAGGUGUGAGCCUGGCUUCUAAGGCUUGUGGCUGACAUUGCUUUUUGAAUCCACAGUAAAGCUUUAAUACAUCAUAAAUAAUAUACCACUACAGGAUUUGGAAGGACAUAUACAUAUUUCUUGUAAAAAAUUCAUCCAUUAAGAGAAUAAAUAAUAUUAAGAAACUUUUAAACAGAAUAAUUUUUAAAGGCAAGAUGCAAAUAUAAAUAUGAAGCAAUAUGAGAAAUGACAUUAUUGGUUAUAUGUAUGUUAAAUAAUAAAGUUCCCAUAAACCCAGCAACUUAGAUAGAGUGAAAAAUCACUUGAAAGAUGCAAAUAUAAAAAUUAAAUCAGUAAGUGGAUAAACAAAAUAAUUCUUUAGCAAGAAACUAAAUUCUAAUUAAAAACAUUCCUGCAAGGAAAUAUGGAUUACACUGAAUUUUACAACAUAAAUUCCAUAUGAUUUUCUAGAAGAUACCAAAUGAGGGAAUAAUUCCAAGCUCAAAUAUAUAAGAAUGGUGAUACCUUUACAGAAAAAAAAAACCUCCAGAUAAAUGAAGGGUUUAUCAGAGUAUCUUUCACGAUCAUAUAUAUUUGUGUGCAAAUUUUUAGAAAAUGCAAUCUAACAAUAUGUAGACAUUGUUUAUGAUUAAAUCAAACUAAGCAUGUAAUCAAGCUUGGUUUAACAUUUAAAACCAUAUCUUUAUUUGCAAAUCACUAGAAAUUCAAGGUGAAACAUUAAAAAUGCACCUGUCUAUAAAAUGUGUGUUUACAUAAAUACUCACAAUUAGCCAGGCACAGGUGCACAUAUGUAAUCUUCAUAUUCAGGAAGCUAUAGAGCAGGGAAAAUGUUGAUUUGAAGACAAGCUUGCACAGCAAAGUGAGACUUUGUCUCAAAAAAAGUCAAAAUUAAUUUUUAUACUUUUGGAAAUUAAACAAAGACUUAAUAUGGUUCUAAAGAACAUUUAUGCAAGAUAAGCAUUCUGACUCCCGGUAAGAAAAGCAGAAUUUUAUCCAUACAGAAUAUCUAUUUGGGGAUGAUAACAAGUUCUCUAUAAAAAACAUAGCCCAUGAAAUGUUUGGUUUUUUGACUGAUGCAAAGACUUUUCUAUGAGUAAAUACCCAUACCAGUAUUAAACAUAAGCAACUAAUAGCAACUAUGAACUAUCAUUCAAGGUUAAAUAACUAUAAACAACUGUGAUAAAAAUAAAAUAGUAAAAAUGUAAAAACAAUCUGGAUGAUACAAAAAAAGUGUGGUAUCAACAAGUUUUUUGGAACUCUUUUUAUAUGAAGGUGUACAGUGCAUGGUAACAGAAGAAAUACUGGAAGUCCCAAGUUGCUUACAUCUUAAUUAUUACAAGCCCCUGUGCAAGCAGUAGGUCAAGGCUAAGGAGGAGUGGUGAACUGCCUGAAUACUACAUGUGAACCAAAAUACACAUAGAGAAAGUGAGAGUAACAUAUUGGUUAGUUAUUUAAGGAAAUUUCUACAUAAGCAUUGUAUGUGCUCAAAGCUGAAAAGAUAAGUCAUUCAUUAUCUAUGUAUUACUAUGCAUAAACUUCAUGCACGAAAAUCAUGAAAAAGAACAGAUCAGCAACAAAAACAAAUUAUAGGAAUGUAGAAAAACUAUUUGCAUAUGUAAAAAUGUCCAGUUUCCCAAAAAUAAAAAGAUACACAAAGAUAUAGGAAAUUGUGGCACAUGCACAGAAAAAGAAAUCAAGAGAAAUUACUCCCAAGGAAAGAAAGUUGAAAUUACUAGACACAGACAUUAAGUCAACUUUUAAAAAUAUAUCCAAAGAACUAAGGAAAAACAUGAAUAAAGAUUUUACUAAAGUAUAAAACUGAUACUUCAACAAAUACAUACUGUUAUUAAGACACAGAUAAUAAGAAAGAACCACAUACACAUUUUUCAGGUUAGAAAUAAAAAUAAGUGGGCAAUAGGCAUGUAGCUCAAUGGUAAAAAGCUUGCCCACCAUACUCAAAAGUCCUGGCUUCUAUCUAUCUAACACUAUAUAUAUAUAUAUAUAUAUGUAUAUAUAUAUAUAUAUAUAUAUUAAAGGACCCUCUAGUCAGGUGUCAAGAGGGAAAAACUAAAAUAGAGAAAAUUGAGCAGAAGAGAACCAUGAAAAACUGCACUUAUUUCAAUGAUUACAUUAAUGGGGUUCAAGAAGGAAAAUAGAGAAAGAUGAAAAAAUUGAAAAAUUAUGGCUCAAAGCUGGUCAAAUAUAAAGGAAAACACUAAUGUACCCAAGAAGAAUAUCAAGAAGCUCCAAGUAAGAUAAAUUCAAAGAUAAACACCUAAUUCCAAAGAGCAAGGCAUCAUUGUGAAACUUUCAAAUAACUAAUAAAAACAGAAUGCCAAAGAACAUGAGAGUAAUAUUGAAAACAUGCUUCUCACUAUAAACUGUGCAGACCAGAAGUUACAAAUAUUUAAUAAAUGGUAUUAUAAUAUACAAUAUAGUAUACUGCUUACAAAAUAUAUUUUUUUAUAUGUAUACUACAAGUAAUGAAGCAAAAUAUUUAAUAAUUUAAUAUCUACCAAAGUACACUAUUUAAAAUGAGAAAUGAUGACAUUUCUAAGUAAACACAACCGCUCAAAAAGUGCUAAGGAAACUUCUUAUGUGUAAAAUAUAAAGACAUCAGAUAAUAAAAUAAAUCCACACUUGGAAAUAAAAAACCACCAGUGAGCCAAGCGUUGGUGGCGCACGCCUUUAAUCCCAGCACUCGGGAGGCAGAGGCAGGUGAAUCUCUGUGAGUUUGAGACCAGGCUGGUCUACAAGAGCUAGUUCCAGGACAGCCUCUAAGGCCACAGAGAAACCCCGUCUUGAAAAAAAAAAAAACACCAGUGAAGGUAAUAUCAGUAAAUUUAAAAUAAAACUUAGUGUAUUUUACAUGUGACAUUUGUUUUCUAUUUGGUUUCUAAUAUCAUUUCAGUGAAAAUUCUGUGUUGAUAGUCUCAUAUAUAAUUAUGGAACAAUUGCAGAAUGAUAGCAUACAGGAGUUUUCUGCCAACAACACCCCACAGAAACAUCAACAGUGGAAAGAGUCUGAAAACCACAGGAGACAUCUUGGGAAUACACACAACUUACCUGCCUGACUGUAGGGAAAGAAAUACAAAUUUGUAAGUUUCAGGGUGCAACCUAAGUAAAAACGAACAGAAGACUCUCUGAAUUCAUCUAGGACUAGAGGAACAAGGAAAAUCAUACAACUUUACUCCUUUGUGGAAAAAAGGAAUGAAACAAAUUUAUGAACUGAAACUAUUAAAGAUUCAGUAUCUUAACACUUUUUGAGUGUGAAGGUGAUUUCCUCUCAAAGCUAGUGAAGAUAGAGAUAUGGGAGCUCCUUUAAAUGCAAUGACAGCAGUAAAAGAAUUUAAAAAGUGGAAUAUCAAGAAAACAAGGAACCACCAAGCAAAUACAAUGAUUUUGCAGUAACUGAUCUCAAAUAAGACAAGGCCCAUAAAUAAAUUUAUAUAGAAAAACAUAAAUGAUUUUGUCUUGAAAAAAAGCUCAGCAAGCUAUAUAGACAGAAAAUAAUAACAAAAUCUGAAAAUAACUACAUGGACAAUUAGAAUUCUUCUAUAAAACAGAAACAGAGAGAAGAAUUUUAAUGUCCACAAUUCAGGAGCUGAUUAUUUCAACAGAAAACUUGAUGAAGCACAAAUAAAGUGUUAAAAAAUAAGUCAUUUGAGGGGCUGGAUCAUCCAGAAAACCUAGGAUCAAUUCCCAGCACUCACAAGGUGUCUUACAGCUAUCUAUAAGUUAUGAUUCUCUCUUCUGGUAUCUUUUGGUACUGUAUAGACGUUGUAUAGAUAGGCAUGAGGGCAAAACACCCAUACAUAAAAAAUAAAAUCAAAGGAGAAAUAGUUAAUUUGAAAUUAUCCACUGUGUGAUAAUUUUUAUUUUAUAAAUAAAAAACUUAUAGGAUCAACAUUACAUCAUCAAAAUAAAUAAUAUAAGGAUUAUAGGAGUUACAGAAGAAGAAACACAAAGAUAUAAAGCUUAAAGAAACAAUCCCCAAGCCUGUAGUACAAUGUGGACAUCAAACAAACAGGGUUCAAAUAUCUGUAAACAUAUUAAAUCUCCCCAGAACUUUAUAAAGACACGUUAUAAUAAAAAUAAAUGUCUAGCUAAUUACCUAAAGUUACCUUGCAAGCACCAAUUAUUAAGAGUCAUGCAACAUCUAUGUACCCAUGCUACAAUUACUUGCAUGCACCUUAAGUAAAUUCUACUGCAAACUCUGUAUGUUAAAGGGAUACAUUUGAAAGAAUAGAGAAAAAUAGAUUCAUCACACAUAAGGGGUCCUUUACAAUAAAAAUACUUCUGAGAAAAAAGCCUUACAGACCAGGAGAGAGUGUAAUAGUAGAUCAUAUCUUCUGAAAGAGUCUAUGGAAAGUCUUCUUUCUUAUAGUAGCUAUAUUUAUAUCUAAUAAAGUAGACUUCAAACCAAAAAUAAGAGAUAAAGAAAGUCAGUGUAUUUUUAAUAAACAGAAAAUUCUUCAAGAAUAUAUAGAUAUAUAUGAACCAAAUAUUAGCAAUGUCAUUUCAUACCACAAACAAUAUUGGGCAUUGAGUAGAGGGAAAACCCAUAUAAAAUAAAUAAUACAGAGUGAGUGACUUCAAUACUCCAUUCUCAUCAAUAGAUGAUUGUCCAGACAAAAAUAAGAGAUAAAUUUCAGAUGAACUGCAUCAUAGACCCAGGAUAAAAUUAAAUGAUUAGCUAAUGAGUUCUAUCAGAUCAAUAAUGAAGCAUUAUCACCAAUAUUUCCCAAAUUAUUCCCUAAAAUAGAAAGUUAAGGAACAGCAACAUAAUUUAUGAACCCAGUAUCACAUUGCUAUGAAACCUGACCAAUUUCCAUGAUAAACAUGGAUACAAAAAUUUUAAUAAAAGUAUUAACCAAUCCAAAAAUGAAUUUUAAAAGAAGAUUUAUCAUGAUCAAAUUGGCUUCACUCCAGAUAUACAAGGAUAGUUCAACAUAUACACAUAAGUAUGUGAUAACAAACAUGUACAAAAAUGUACAAAGGUUUAAAGACAGAAAUUAGAUGACAAUUGUAACAAAUGGACAAUAGCCUUUGCAUAAUGUCCACCAUCCCUUCAUGAAAAAAUACUCCAAAAAACUAUCUAAGGAUAGAAAGACCAUAAAUUACUAUGAUGAAAUCUAUGAACAUAAAAUUAUAACCAACAUCAUAUUCAAAUGGGACAAAACCAGAAAGCAUUGCCUCCAAUAUUAGUAGACAAGUAUAUCUUGUCUCUCCAUUCUUAUUCAAUAUAAUAUUUUAAUUCUUUGAAUGAGUUAUAAAGCAAUGUAAAUAAAGCAUAGAUUAAAUGAAAGAAUUCAAUUUCUUUCUACAGCAGACAGUAUGGACCUAUACUUAGAGGACCCUGAAAUUCUCACCAGAAAGGAAGACAAACUUUGGUUUGUCAAAAACUUGUAACAAAAUAGAAGAUUAUAAAAUCAAAAUACAGAGGUCAACAAUUAUUCUAUAUAAUAAUAAUUAACAUCCUGAGCAGGAGACUGGUCCCAUUUACAAGUAUCUCCCAUCCAAGUACUAACCAGUCCUAACCUUGAUUAGCUUCUAAGAUCAGAAGAGGUCGGGCAUGGUCAGAGUGGUAUGGCCGUAGACACAAGUAUCUCAAAAUAAAUAAAUAAAUAAAUAAAUAAAUAAAUAAAUAAAUAAAUAAAUAACAGCUAGUAAUAAAUCUCAUCAAGAAGGUAUAUAAGCUCAACAGUGAAAACAUUAAUGAUUCUCUGGAUUUCAUCAGUGUCUGUUGUUAUGUCCCCCUUUUCAUUUUUGAUUUUGUUAAUUUUGAUAUUCUUUCUUUGCUUUUUUGUUAGUUUGGGUACAAAAGACAACUUCCUAAAUAUAACACCAGUAGCAAAGUCAUAAAUAAAUAAAUUAAUUAAUUAAGAGCAACAAUCAAUAAAUGGGACAUCCUGAAACUGAGAAACUUCUGUAAGACAAAGGACACUGUCAAGAAGACAGAAUGUCAGCCUACAGAAUGGGAAAAGAUCUUCACCAACCCCAAAUCUGACAGAGAGCUGAUCUCCAAAAUAUAUCAAGAACUGAAGAAACUAGACAUCAAACUACCAAAUAAUCCAAUUAAAAAAUGGGAUACAGACCUAAACAAAGAAUUCUCAACAGAAGAAUCUCAAAUGAGUGAAAGACAUUUAAGGAAUUUCUCAAGUUCCCUAGUCAUCAGGGAAACGCAAAUCAAAGCAACAUUGAGAUACCAUCUUACACAUGUCAGAAUGGCUAAAAUUUUAAAAAAAGUAAUAACAGCUCAUAUUGUAGAGGAUGUAAAGUCAGGGGAACACUCCUCCACUAUUGGUACAGAGCAAACUUUACAGCCAUUCUAGAAAUCAGUAUAGCAGUUUAUCAGAAAAUUGGGAAUCAUCCUACCUUAAGACCCAGCAAUAACAUACUCAAAAGAUGUUUAAUCAUACCAUAACGACGCUUGCUCAACUAUGUUAAUAGGAGCAAUAUUUGUAAUACCCAGAACCUGGAAACAAUGUGGUAGAUUUACACAAUGGAUUAUUACUCAGUGGUUAAAAAAAAAUCAUGAAAUGUAUAGGCAAAUGGAUGGAACUAGAAAAAAAUAACCCUGAAUGAGGUAAUCCAGAAAGACAAACAUGGUGUGUACUCACUCAUAAGUGGAUAUUAGAUGCAAAGCAAAGGAUAGCCAGGAUAAAAUUCACUACCCCAGAGAAGUUAGGUAAAAAGGAGGACCCUAAAAAGGACACACAUGGAGGGCCACUGGGAGAGGAAAUAGUUAAGAUCUCCUGGGUAAACUGGGAGGAUGUGUGUAGAAUGGAGGAGAUGGGAACAUGAGGAAUUGAGAUGACUUAGUUGGGGGAGAAAGAAAGGGAGAGAAAUGAAAGAUAUUUUGAUAGAGGGAGCCAUUAUGGAGUUAGGGAGAAACCUGUUGUUAGGGAAUUCCCAGGAAUCCACAAAAAUGAGCCCAGGUAAUACACCUAGCAAUAGUGGAGAAGGUCCCUGAACUGGCCUUCUCCUUUAAUCAGAUUGGUGACUACCCUAAUUGUCACCAUAGAACCUUCAUCCAGUAACUUAAGGAAGCAGAUGCAGUGAUCCACAGCCAAGCAUUGGGUUGAGCUCCUGAAGUUCAGUUGAAGAGAGGGAGGAGGGAUCAUAUGAGCAAGCGGCCGGGUGUGGGGGGUGUCAAGAUCAUGGUGGGGUAAAAUCACAGAGACAGCUGACCCAAAUUAGUGGCACUCACAGACUCUGGACUGACAGCUAGGGAACCUACAUAGGACUUACUUAACUAGGCUUCUAAGUACGGGUGACUGUUGUGUGGCUUGAUUUGUUUGUGGGUGUCACUGGCAGUGGAACCACAACUAAUCAAAUUCCUAAUGACUUUUUUGAGCCCAUUCCCUAUGUUGGGUUACCUUGCUCAGUCUUGAUGCAGGGGGAGGGGCCUAGUCCUGCCUCAACUUGUUAUGCCAGACUUUGUUGACUCCCAAAAGUAGGCAAUACAUGCCCAAAGCACUCAAAAGCAUAAAGAACAAUAUUGUAGUUGUCAUAGUAUGUAAUUCACACAUAGUAUGGAGCCAUUUUAUAAAACAACAUGAUACUUGCACACAAACUAAAAUAUAGACCAAUAUACUAUAUAAACUAAAUACAUAAAACAAAAACAGAAAUACACCCAUACCAUUAUGGCCACUGAUUUUUGACACAAGUUCAAACAUCAUGUGUUGGGAACAAAACAGCAUCUUCAACAAAUGGUUCUGGGAAAACUUAAUAUGCACAUAUUCAAGACUGAAACUAGAUUCUUCUGACUCACCCUGCAUAAAAAUCCACUCAAAACAGAUAAAAGACUUUACCAUAAGACAUGAAGGAUUGAAGGUGCUAACAGGAAGAAUACUUCAAGGUAUACACAGGCAAGAACUUCCUGAAAGGAACUUGAGUAAAUCAUAAAAUAAUAGCAAGAGUUCACAAAUAGGAUUAUAUAAAAUUAAAAAGUUUCUGCACAGUAAAAGAAACAAAAGUCAAAACUAUAAAGAUUAGUGAACUGUUACUCUAUUUACUCACAGAGUAGCUGGGUUUGGCUCUACCCUGCAGCACACAACUCCCUCUAGCUAUAGUUCCAAGAGAUCUGUCACCCAGGGUCCCUGUAGACAAAUGGUGCACAUACCCUCAUGAAGACUCACACACAUAAAAAUAAACAAAUGAAUAAAUAAAUCAUUUUUUAAGAGUGAAGAUUUAGCCUACAAAAUGGGAGAAAAUGUUUGCUACUUACACAUCUUAAGGGAACUAAUGUCAAGAAUAUAUAAAAUGCUGCAAUAUAAAACAUCAAAACGCUAAGUAAUGAAUGGAAAAGGUCUUUAAAGAUGAAGCAAAAAUGGCCAAUAAAUACAUGAAAAAAUGAUCAGUCUUCUUAGCCAUUAAGGAAGUUCAAAUUAAAAGAUUGGGAUUUCAUCUUGUGCCCAUUAGAAAGGCUUUCAUUAAGGUCACAGACAGAGCUCCUUCUGCAGAUGGUUCCGUUAGUAUGGUUUCUCUUUUCCAAGCAUGAGAACCUGAGUUUGAUCUAUAGAACUUAAGUAAAAAGAAGCCAGGUGUGACAGCACAUGCUGUAAUGCUACUGCUGAAGAGAUCCAACUGAGACAGGUUGGAUCCAGGUACUCUAGGCAUUUGCAGGUCAGUGAGGUACCCUAUCUAAAAGCAAACAAAAACAAACAAGCAAACAGAAACAACCACACACAUCCACAUAAAAACCUACCAAACAAGCCGGGUGUUGGUGGCACACGCCUUUAAUCCCAGCACUCGGGAGGCAGAGGCAGGCGGAUCUCUGUGAGUUCGAGACCAGCCUGGUCUACAAGAGCUUGUUCCAGGACAGCUCCAAA
ensembl:lncRNA